rnacentral:snRNA from 1 species
UAAAGAUGGAAAAAUUUGGGUGUGACAAUCAUUUAGUUCCAGUCUCUUUCUUCAGAGUUGAUUUGGUGAAUCUUGCUGGAUAAGCAGUUACUCCCUCCCUCUCUACUAUUUAAUGUGUAUUCUUCCUGAAACUUUUCUCUCAGUUGAAGAUGUCCUUUCUUGGUAGAGGAGGUCCAUUUUUCAGUCAUUGGUUUCUGGGUAACUAUGUUUUCUUGCUAGCACUUCCCAAAUAAGAUCUUGAUUUUUAUUUGCAGGUGAAAAAAUAAUACUAUGUUUCCAUUCCUAUGAGUGG